rnacentral:rRNA from 1 species
AACGGGUGAGUAACACGUGGGCAAUCUGCCCUUCACUCUGGGACAAGCCCUGGAAACGGGGUCUAAUACCGGAUACUGACCCUCGCAGGCAUCUGCGAGGUUCGAAAGCUCCGGCGGUGAAGGAUGAGCCCGCGGCCUAUCAGCUUGUUGGUGAGGUAAUGGCUCACCAAGGCGACGACGGGUAGCCGGCCUGAGAGGGCGACCGGCCACACUGGGACUGAGACACGGCCCAGACUCCUACGGGAGGCAGCAGUGGGGAAUAUUGCACAAUGGGCGAAAGCCUGAUGCAGCGACGCCGCGUGAGGGAUGACGGCCUUCGGGUUGUAAACCUCUUUCAGCAGGGAAGAAGCGAAAGUGACGGUACCUGCAGAAGAAGCGCCGGCUAACUACGUGCCAGCAGCCGCGGUAAUACGUAGGGCGCAAGCGUUGUCCGGAAUUAUUGGGCGUAAAGAGCUCGUAGGCGGCUUGUCACGUCGGUUGUGAAAGCCCGGGGCUUAACCCCGGGUCUGCAGUCGAUACGGGCAGGCUAGAGUUCGGUAGGGGAGAUCGGAAUUCCUGGUGUAGCGGUGAAAUGCGCAGAUAUCAGGAGG